UUACUCUGGAGAGUCUUUGAUGCGGUUGGUUGCAGCCGUAUGAAAAGCGCCGAAGGUGUAGCGCAGGAAACUGCCAAUCUCUCAGGCAAAAGGACAGAGCAUU
rnacentral:ncRNA from 1 species